AGAGUUUGAUCCUGGCUCAGAGCGAACGCUGGCGGCAUGCCUAACACAUGCAAGUCGAACGCUAUUUAUAGAGUGGCGCACGGGUGAGUAACGCGUGGGAACCUGCCUUUUUCUGCGGGAUAACGGUUGGAAACGACCGCUAAUACCGCAUACGCCCUACGGGGGAAAGGUCCGCCGGAGAAAGAGGGGCCCGCGUCUGAUUAGCUAGUUGGUGGGGUAACGGCCUACCAAGGCGACGAUCAGUAGCUGGUCUGAGAGGAUGAUCAGCCACACUGGGACUGAGACACGGCCCAGACUCCUACGGGAGGCAGCAGUGGGGAAUAUUGGACAAUGGGGGCAACCCUGAUCCAGCAAUGCCGCGUGUGUGAUGAAGGCCUUAGGGUUGUAAAGCACUUUCACUGGUGAAGAUGAUGACGGUAACCAGAGAAGAAGCCCCGGCUAACUUCGUGCCAGCAGCCGCGGUAAUACGAAGGGGGCGAGCGUUGUUCGGAAUUACUGGGCGUAAAGGGCGCGUAGGCGGUCUUUUAAGUUAGGCGUGAAAUCCCCGGGCUCAACCUGGGAACUGCGCUUAAGACUGGAAGACUAGAAAACGGAAGAGGGUAGUGGAAUUCCCAGUGUAGAGGUGAAAUUCGUAGAUAUUGGGAAGAACACCAGUGGCGAAAGCGGCUACCUGGUCCGAUUUUGACGCUGAGGCGCGAAAGCGUGGGGAGCGAACAGGAUUAGAUACCCUGGUAGUCCACGCCGUAAACGAUGUCUGCUAGAUGUCGGGGGGUUGCCCCUCGGUGUCGCCGCUAACGCAUUAAGCAGACCGCCUGGGAAGUACGGUCGCAAGAUUAAAACUCAAAGGAAUUGACGG
rnacentral:rRNA from 1 species